rnacentral:lncRNA from 1 species
GCUCUCAGCCUUUCUUUCCCUCACCAUUGCUCUCAGCCUUACUCUGACUCACUAUCAAUCCCCCUCACCCUCAAUCCAGUUCACCCUUUCACCCUCGUCAAGCCUCUAUCUCACUCACUCUCGCUCUCACUCACACUCGAUACACUCUCAGUGGGCUGUCUCCGUCGACCGAGACUCACCCUCGUUCUUCUUGGUUUAAAUCUUCUGGGUUUCAUAACUCAAUUUGUUCUUAAAGACCUUUCUAUUUCUCUCCGUUCCAAUUCAAGACCCUUUUGAUUCUUCCUCACCUUUUGUCGCCACUGUUGCUCUAAAACUUUGAUGGCUUUUUGACUUGAGGGGGC